GAUAUCACAAGUUUUUAAGAAAACUUACCACAUCUCCUACAAUGUGAAAGAGCUGAGAUCAGAAUAAGAAAAACAUUCUGAAGAGAGUUGAGACCAUCCCUGACACAAGUCACCUGGUGUGGACUCUGUUUUGCACCCUGGAAUAUUUUUUCUUCUUGGAGGGGAACCGGAUGUACAGCACGGAGAAGCAUGCCCUUUGGAAAUGUCAGUGAAUACAGUUGUGCUUCUCAGUAAAGGAACAAGUUCUUCUCUACCACUGGAUCAGAGGGUGUAAAGAAAACUUGUAAAGUAUACAAACUUAAGGCCAAAGUUAUGGCGGCAGAAAAAUUAAGAGAAGAGGAAAAAUAAUCUCAAAAGAAGAUAGAAAUGUAGGGUGAAAGAGCCUAAACCUCUUAGGAAUUUUCCACCUUGAUCAAAACAAAACUAAACAAGCAGGAGCUUCUGUAUUUUAUCUCAACAAGGAAACAGGGGAAAUUCUAAACACAAUAAACUUUAUCCCUAAGAAUUUCUUAUAUUUAUCUCCCUACUUGAAUCAGAAAAGCAUUUGAAGUUUCAAAGAUGGAUAUAAAGGUACCGGUUUUUAAGGUACUCAUUUUCAAAGUUUUAAUUUCUUGGACAUGAAUUUAGUGGACUCUGAAAUUUUUAUUUAUGCUUUCAUCUUUAUAAUUUCAAUUAAAUAAGGAUACUAUUUUAAUAUUAUGAAUUCAUGUGUGAAAAUGUUUAUUAUUCUCAUUCUCAUUUCAAUACUGUUAUUUUUUGCUCAUUAAAAAAC
rnacentral:lncRNA from 1 species